rnacentral:tRNA from 1 species
GCGGCGGUGCUGGAACCGGCAGACAGGGCAGACUCAAACUCUGCUGUCCGUGAGGACGUGUGGGUUCGACUCCCACCCGCCGCACCA